AAUCUGAUUCGUUUGAUUAAAAAAAAAAAAAAGAAAGAAUCUUCUAAUCUGAUUCUCGUUUCAUCGGAGCCGACAGACCUCAUGCUCUUCAUCUCCAACAGAGUUAAAUAAUCCAUCGAUUGUUUCAAUUUCAGCAAAGCAUACCUGAUUCUCGUCUCAUCGGCGCCGACCAACCUCAUGCUCUCUAUUUCCAACAGAGUUAACUCAUCCACCGAGUAUUUCAAUUUCAGCAAAGUUCAUUAACUCCAACCCAUUUCUGGAAACCCUUAAACCCUUUUAAUACCCUCUCCCCCUUUCAAUUUCGGGGUUCUCUUUCUAGUUUCGUCCGACGGAGAAAACCAGAGGGAGCUAAAUUAAGCUGUAAAGUCAAUAUGUUACCUUCACGUAGAGAUGGGUUGUUGAUUAGUUGUUGCAGUACAUCGAGCUUUGAGUCUCCUGAGUCUUCAGUUUCACGGGAAGAAGAUGCUGCAUUUGAGAGAAUAAGGGAAGCUGAAGGAGAACGAGUUAGCAACAUGGAAGAGCUUGAGAGAAAAGCUAAUGUACAAUUAGAAAGGCAGCUUGUGAUGGCUUCUGAUUGGAGUAGAACAUUGUUAACUAUGCGAGGGAAGUUAAAAGGAACAGAAUGGGAUCCUGAAAUCUCUCACCGGAUCAAUUUUAGUGAUUUUACGAAGCUCUUAGAUUCCAACAGUGUUCAAUACAUGGAGUAUUCAAAUUACAGAAAGACCAUAUCAGGACAUAGUAUCGCACGCUCCUUGAAAUAAUCUCCAUCAUCAAGAUUGUGAAGCAAAGACGGAUAUGUGCUAAGUGCGAUUGAAUUAAUUGGAUCCAAAGAGUCUUUCAGAAGCAUAUCUUCAGGUAUAUCAAUCACCGCUUCACCGUCGUUUGGCUCAGAAAGUUUACCAUCUCCAAGUUUUAGUAUCCACUCAGAAAACUCUUUGAUGAGAUCCACUGCUAAUGGAUCUGACUCCACAGUACCACUGGUAAAAUCUGACGAAAAUCACCUCCAAAGACAACAGCUUUACCUCCAAAAGGUUUUCCAAGGUUAAGAAUAUCUAUUAAAGAUCGAUCUAAAGCUUCAAAACAAUGUUUAUGCAUCAUUGGUGCCUCAUCCCAGAUGAUUAACUUAGCUUCUUCAAUCAAAGCAGCAAUAUCGCUAUCAGCAGAAAAGGUGCAAGUGGAAGUCUAGUGUACCUGUAUCGGUAUUGAAAAUUGAGAAUGAGCUGUUCGACCACCUUCUAAUAACAAUGCAGUCAUUGCAGUGGAUGCAACAUUUAGGACAAUCUCUCCUUUUGAACGAAUGUAUGUAGAUAGGGUUUUCCAUAGAAACGUUUUUCCUGUGCCUCCAAAUCCAUAGACAAAGAAAAGACCUCCUCCUUUUGAAUCCACUGAACCAACUAUAUGAUCAAAUAUAUUCUUCU